rnacentral:rRNA from 1 species
UACAGAGGGGGCAAGCGUUGUUCGGAAUUAUUGGGCGUAAAGAGCUCGUAGGCGGUUUGUCGCGUCUGCUGGUGAAAAACCUCAGGGCUUAACCCUGAGCUUGCAGUGGGUACGGGCAGACUUGAGGUGCGGUAGGGGGAAGAUCUGGAAUUCCUGGUGUAAGCGGUGAAAUGCGCAGAUAUCAGGAGGAACACUGGUGGCGAAGGCGGGGUCUCUGGGCCGUAACUGACGCUGAGGAGCGAAAGCAUGGGGGAGCGAACAGG